GUGAGCAGAACAGAAGUAAGCAACAACAAUGUCUUGUUAUACGUGGAUCAGGUGACUAAUCAGACACUGGCCUUCUCCUUCAUCGUUCAACAAGACAUCCCAGUAAGGAACCUGCAGCCUGCCAUUGUGAAAGUCUAUGACUACUAUGAGACAAAUGAAGUGGCUUUUGCUGAAUACAGCGCCCCCUGCAGCACAGGUGAGCCC